GCCUCUAGCAUUACUGACUAUCUUCUUCUGGGUUCUAUCAUGACCAUCAUUUCUCAUGAGAAGAAUCAUAUCUCGGUGAAGCCCACAACUUGCAAGGAGUUGGUGACAGAGGAUAUCUAAAUCUGAUCCUCGAAGGAUGGAUGAUGAUUAAAGAGGAAAGGAAGUGGGUAAACUGUGGAUUGCUGAGAGGAGACCCCAAGACAGCGAAAUGAGAGUCGGAUGAAAUCAAUAUCUCUGAUACGGAGGCGAUCUUGGCAAUUCAGAAGAGCCUGUUGCCGAUAAUUGGAGAGGCUAGAGCGUUUCUCUUGGUGAGAAAUAGUGUGCAGUGGCGGGGACACCUAGCGGAUCGCUAUUCGCUCCACUGAAAGCCCAAGGAACAGAAAUCAAUUUUAGAUCCUCUUACCGGCUGAGAUAAGUGGAUUUCAUGGUUCAAAUGUUUUUAAAUUUUUUAGUGGUACAAUUUUUGAACUGAAAAUUAUUUCCUCCUCCCCUCUUGUUUGUUGAACGUUGGUCCAAGAGAAAGAAAGGCUCUUAUUUGAGGUUUCACCAGCAUCCACUCAACAAUCGAUUCAGUCAUCAGCGAUACCUUCCAUAUGGCUUUAUCUCACUUUGAAUCUCAGAGAAAUCAUAGAACCUCUUGCUAGAAAAGUGGAGGAACUCCUUAUACUUCUCUUCAGUGCUAUUGGACUUCUUCUUAAUCUACACGAGCUACAACACUAGCAGCCUCCUAGGCAAGAUCUUUGAGAACACUAGACUUGCCAUUACUUUGGCUCCCAAUGACGAUGACCUAGGGAAGAUCCAUGGUGGACUGGCUUUUGACCCGAGCAAAGAUGUCUUGAAACUUGUUCACUAAGGAGAUCAUGGAGGAGCCAAGAGGAGCAAAUGAGGAAGAUGAAGAUGUGGUGUUGGUACUAAAUCUUGGUGAGAUUAGGAAAACCCUUAAGCAAAGAAUGUGAAUAUGGAAGAGAAAGAGAAUAGCAGAAAAUGAAUGUAAGAUUCAUUGGUGUUAUAAUUUUCAGAUUCCUUUUCCAUAUGGCUUUAUCUCAUUGCUUUUCAAAAUUUUGAUUCUCUAUUUUAGCUUUUCUAGUUCUAGAGAGAUGCUUCAUCAACAAUGAGUACUCCAACAUUUUUUAUAGAUCGGUAGGAGGCGGAUUCUUAAAGCAGCAGCUGGAACAUGGGAUCCACGAUGGACACUGCCCGGUGCACGGUGGUCGGAGACACAAAGAAGAAGUACACCCACCAUCGCACUUGUAGCUCCGGCACCUGAAACAAGGCUUGCAACUUCCAUGGCACUUGAAGCUCUCACACCUAAAACAUGGCUUACAGCUUCCAAGGCACUUAGGGCUCCCACACCUUGUGCAUGGCUUACAGUUUCCAUGGCGCUUCAAGUUUUCACAGUUUGAGCAAGAUUUGCAGGUUCCAUGACAGUUCAGGUUAGGGUUAGGGAGUAUCUGCGGGCAGGGCUGGCAGUCGCCGCCGUGACAAUUUGAGCUGUGGCGGCUUGAGCAGGGAUUCAAAGGUACAAUAGAAAUGGAACACGUUUUGAGUUUGUCUUUGUCUUUUUCUUCCUUCUUCUUCUUCUCCUCGGGAGCCUUAGGUUUCACUUCUUCCACCGUGAGAACAGUGACAGAACUGAACUUCUUCCUCAGAAGCUUUCCCAGACAGACUGUGUCUACGUCUUCCCCGGUCACCACCAACUGAUCUUUAUCGUUCAUGGACACCGAACUCACACCUUCAAAUACACCAUUAAAUAAAAAUGUUUUGAUGAUCA